rnacentral:rRNA from 1 species
UACGUAGGGUGCGAGCGUUAAUCGGAAUUACUGGGCGUAAAGCGUGCGCAGGCGGUUUUGUAAGCCAGAUGUGAAAUCCCCGGGCUUAACCUGGGAACAGCGCUUGAGACUGGCACGCUCGAGUUCGGGAGAGGAUGGUGGAAUUCCCAGUGUAGAGGUGAAAUUCGUAGAUAUUGGGAAGAACACCGAUGGCGAAGGCAGCCAUCUGGACCGACACUGACGCUGAGGCGCGAAAGCGUGGGGAGCAAACAGG